rnacentral:rRNA from 1 species
AUUGAACGCUGGCGGCAGGCUUAACACAUGCAAGUCGAGCGAGCGGCGGACGGGUGAGUAAUGUCUGGGAAACUGCCUGAUGGAGGGGGAUAACUACUGGAAACGGUAGCUAAUACCGCAUACUAUCAGAUGUGCCCAUAUGGGAUUAGCUAGUAGGUGGGGUAAUGGCUCACCUAGGCGACGAUCCCUAGCUGGUCUGAGAGGAUGACCAGCCACACUGGGACUGAGACACGGCCCAGACUCCUACGGGAGGCAGCAGUGGUGAAUAUUGCACAAUGGGCGCAAGCCUGAUGCAGCCAUGCCGCGUGUGUGAAGAAGGCCUUCGGGUUGUAAAGCACUUUCAGCGAGGAGGCGUUACUCGCAGAAGAAGCACCGGCUAACUCCGUGCCAGCCGCCGCGGUAAUAC